CUCAAACCUUUAAUUGUAUUCUUUUGUGUGCAUGUCCAUGGGUGUGGGCCAAUGGAUGGCAUCGAGGUCAGAGAACAACUUGCAGGAAUUGGUUUUUCCUCUGAUAGCAGGCAUCUCUAGACAGCCUGUGUUCUUUUCUGGAGUGCCAGUCAUGACAGUGAGUUGUGUUGAAGGGAGAUGUCCUGUUCUUGGUAUGGAAGCUGUGGGGUAAGUGGUGUAUGGACAGUUGCCAGCUUAGUCUUAUGCACUGGGCUCACUAACUCUUUCUUCUGUCUAGAAAACCUAAGGUGCUGAAGCUAGAAGAGAAUUGACUUCAGAGACCAUCAGGCUGUUUCGUGGAACUUCCACCGAACAGAUGCAGAAAUGGAGACUAAGAAAUGAGACUCCGGGGCUGGAGAAAUGGCUCAGCCAUUAAGAGCACUGACUGCCCUUCCGAAGGUCCUGAGUUCAAAUCCUAGCAACCACAUGGUGGCUCACAAUUAUCUAUGAUGGGGAUCUGAUGCCCUCUUUUGAUGUGUCUGAAGACAGCGAUAGUGUACUGAUAUACAUGAAAUAAAUAAAUAGAAAUGAGACUCC
ensembl:processed_transcript uncharacterized LOC110331010